rnacentral:rRNA from 1 species
AGAACGAACGCUGGCGGCAUGCCUAAUACAUGCAAGUCGAACGAACACUUCGGUGUUAGUGGCGCACGGGUGCGUAACGCGUGGGAAUCUGCCCUUGGGUUCGGAAUAACAGUUGGAAACGACUGCUAAUACCGGAUGAUAUCGAAAGAUCAAAGAUUUAUCGCCCAGGGAUGAGCCCGCGUAGGAUUAGCUAGUUGGUGAGGUAAAGGCUCACCAAGGCGACGAUCCUUAGCUGGUCUGAGAGGAUGAUCAGCCACACUGGGACUGAGACACGGCCCAGACUCCUACGGGAGGCAGCAGUAGGGAAUAUUGGACAAUGGGCGCAAGCCUGAUCCAGCAAUGCCGCGUGAGUGAUGAAGGUCUUAGGAUUGUAAAAAUACUUUCACCGGUGAAGAUAAUGACUGUAGCCGGAAGAAGAAGACCCCGGCUAAACUUCGCGCCAGCAAGCCGC